AUUGAACGCUGGCGGUAUGCCUUACACAUGCAAGUCGAACGGCAGCACGGGAGCAAUCCUGGUGGCGAGUGGCGAACGGGUGAGUAAAGUAUCGGAACGUGCCCAGUCGUGGGGGAUAACGUAGCGAAAGUUACGCUAAUACCGCAUACGAUCUAUGGAUGAAAGCGGGGGAUCGCAAGACCUCGCGCGAGUGGAGCGGCCGAUAGCAGAUUAGGUAGUUGGUGGGGUAAAGGCUCACCAAGCCGACGAUCUGUAGCUGGUCUGAGAGGACGACCAGCCACACUGGGACUGAGACACGGCCCAGACUCCUACGGGAGGCAGCAGUGGGGAAUUUUGGACAAUGGGCGAAAGCCUGAUCCAGCCAUGCCGCGUGCAGGAUGAAGGCCUUCGGGUUGUAAACUGCUUUUGUACGGAACGAAAAGGUUUGGCCUAAUAAGCUGAGCUCAUGACGGUACCGUAAGAAUAAGCACCGGCUAACUACGUGCCAGCAGCCGCCGUAA
rnacentral:rRNA from 1 species